GGGAAUCAAAGAUUCCCCUCCCCUCUUCUUGCGAGGCUGCAGAUGACGUCGACGAAAUUGAUGACAGUGGCGUGGAUCUGUUCGGCCAUCGGAUUUGAUUUGACAUUUUCGAAAAAAUGUUGAAGGGUCCGAAGAAACAGGGAAUCAAAGAUUCCCCUCCCCUCUUCUUUCGAAAGUAUCAAACCGUCGAUGUUGUAGAUGAUGUCGAUGAAGUUGAUGACGGUAGUGCGGAUUUGUUUGGCCGUCGGAUUUGAUUUGACAUUUUCGAAGAAAUGCUGAAGGGUCCGAAGAAACGGGGAAUCAAAGAUUCCCCUCCCCUCUUCUUUCGAAAGUAUCAAACCGGCGAUGUUGUAGAUGUCGUCGGUGAAGUUGAUGACGGUGGCGUGGAUCUGUUCGGCCAUCAGAAUUGAUUUGAUAUUUUCGAAGAAAUGUUGAAGGGUCCGAAGAAACAGGGAAUCAAAAAUUCCCCUCCCCUCUUCUUUCGAAAGUAUCAAACCAUCAAUGUUGGGGUGGUCGCGGCCAUGUAGAUCAUCCAUUCCAUCAUCAACGGCUUCGAAUGGGGUAUUGAGAGGUCCGAAGAAAUGGGGAAUCGAAGAUUUCGAUUCCCCUCCACUCUCCCAUCGAAGCCAUCUAGAUGAUAUUGAUGGCUACGAUGAAAAAAAGAAAAGGGGGGGAAGAAGAGAAUUUUCUUUUGUGUUUUAUUAUUGUUUUAUUUUCUUUCUUUCUUUCUUUCUUUCUUCUUUUUUACUACCUGUUGAUGGAUUGGAUGAAGCGGCUCAACGAUCUCUUCUUCUUUUCGCGGCUCGGCGAUCUCUCCUCCUUUCCGCGGCUCAGCGAUCUCUCCUCCUUUCCGCGGCUCGGCGAUUUCUCCUCCUUUCCGCGGUUCGGCGAUCCUCCUCCUUUCCGCAGCUUGGCGAUAUCUCCUUUUUUCUUUUUUUUUUUGUAUGUCGGAACGAGUGUAGCAAUCUAUCUAUUUUUUUUGUUCUUUGUCUAUCGUAUCAUCUCCGUAAAAAAAAUUCUCCUGAAUUUGAUUUCGGUUCCCGUAUUUAUAAUGGGAGGGGAGGAGUUAGUUAGGAAUNUUUGCAAUUUGAUUUGGGGUCCGAAGAAAUCCCCUUUUGAUUUUGCAAUUUGAUUUGGGGUCCGAAGAAAUCCCCUAUUGAUUUUGCAAUUGAAUUUGGGGUCCGAAGAAAUCCCCUUUUGAUUUUGCAAUUGAAUUUCGGGUCCAAAGAAAUCCCCGUUUGAUUUGAAUUUGAAUUUGAUCUUCAAAUUCGAUUUGGUUUGGGGUCUGAAGAAAUCCCCGUUUGGUUUUGCAAUUUGAUUUGGGGUCCGAAGAAAUCCCUUAUUGAUUUUGCAAUUGAAUUUGGGGUCCGAAGAAAUCCCCUAUUGAUUUGAAUUUGAAUUUGGGGUCCGAAGAAACGGGGAAUCAAAGAUUCCCCUCCCCUCUUCUUGCGAUGCUGCGGAUGAUGUCGACGAAGUUGAUGACGGUGGCGUGGAUCUGUUCAGCCAUCGGAUUUAAUUUGACAUUUUCGAAUAUGUAUUGAAGGGUCCGAAGAAACGGGGAAUCAAAGAUUCCCCUCCCCUCUUCUUGCGAUGCUGCGGAUGAUGUCGACGAAGUUGAUGACGGUGGCGUGGAUCUGUUCAGCCAUCGGAUUUGAUUUGAUAUUUUCGAAUAAGUAUUGAAGGGUCCGAAGAAACGGAGAAUCAAAGAUUCCCCUCCCCUCUUCUUUCGAAAAUAUCAAACCGGCGAUGCUGUAGAUGUCGUUGGGGAUGGUGGCGUGGAUCUGUUCGGUCGGCAAACUUGAUUCAAUAUUUUCAAAAUAUUUUGAAGGAUCCGAAGAAACGGGGAAUUGAAGAUUCCCCUCCCCUUUUCUUGCGAUGCUGCGAAUGACGUCGACGAAGUUGAUGACGGUGGCGUGGAUCUAUUCGGCCAUCGGAUUUGAUUUGAUAUUUUCGAAUAAGUAUUGAAGGGUCCGAAGAAACAGGGAAUCAAAGAUUCCCCUCCCCUCUUCUUUUUAAAGUAUCAAACCGUCGAUGUUGUAGAUGAUGUCGAUGAAGUUGAUGACGGUAGUGCGGAUUUGUUUGGCCGUCGGAUUUGAUUUGACAUUUUCGACGAAAUGCUGAAGGGUCCGAAGAAACGGGGAAUCAAAGAUUCCCCUCCCCUCUUCUUUCGAAAGUAUCAAACCGGCGAUGUUGUAGAUGUCGUCGGUGAAUUUGAUGACGGUGGCGUGGAUCUGUUCGGCCAUCAGAUUUGAUUUGAUAUUUUCGAAGAAAUGUUGAAGGGUCCGAAGAAACAGGGAAUCAAAAAUUUCCCUCCCCUCUUCUUUCGAAAGUAUCAAACCAUCGAUGUCGGGGCGGUCGCGGCCAUGUAGAUCAUCCAUUCCAUCAUCAACGGCUUCGAAUGGGGUAUUGAGAGGUCCGAAGAAAUGGAGAAUCGAAGAUUCCCCUCCACUCUCCCACCGAAGCCAUCUAGAUGAUAUGGAUGGCUACGAUCGCAGGACAAAAGAAAAAAAGAAAAAGGGGGGAUGAAGAGAAUUUUCUUUUGUGUUUUAUUAUUGUUUUAUUUUCUUUCUUUCUUUCUUUCUUUCUUCUUUUUUACUACCUGUUGAUGGAUUGGAUGAAGCGGCUCAACGAUCUCUCCUUCUUUUCGCGGCUCGGCGAUCUCUCCUCCUUUCCACUACAACAAAAUUAUCUUUUAGCGGCAAUUUAAUAGUGGCGAUUAUUGAACGGCCACUAUUACUUAUUAUCUAAUUGUACUAUAGCGGCAAUUAUUUUAAACUACAUAUCUUUACCGACUAAUAUUAUUAAAUAUAUUUACUUUGAAUCCUAAUACAAACCUAACCCUAACCCUAACCCUAACCCUUACCCUCCCUGACCCGAACCCAAUCCGAUCCCACUCCCUUGCGCCGACCUCUUCUCUCCUUCACCCCCUCUUCUCCGAGCUCGAGCUCUUCCCCUCUGUGCGAGCUCUCGCUUUCGCUCUCGCUCUCGCUCUCGCUCUCUCCUUCACCUCUACUCAUCCCCUCCUCCCUCUUCCUCCGCGUUCUCGCGUCCUUUCCAAGCUCCGAUCCCAGUCCCAAAUCGCCCUCGCAUUCGCCCCGAUCUUCUCGGCCCGUGUGCGCCGGCGCAACGUCGCCGUCGACCACCUCAAUCGAGCACCACCACAUCGCCGGCGUCGUCCACUUCGCCGUUGCCGACAAGGUCUACGAUCUCCAGUUCUUCGAGGAGAUCCGUCGUCGCUGCCAUCGGAUUCGGCUUCUCCCCGUCGCGGGAGCUCUCGCAGAGGUUCGUCGACAAGAACCCUAAGCUCGGUGCAGAUCUCGAUUGCGAGAUUGUGGAUCCAAGGGUUUUGAAGAAUGGUCGGCUCUGUGGCAGCGGCAGAGGCGGUGGCAGGGAGGUUGAGAGGUUGAAGGUGAGGGUUUAAAUUUGGGGAUUACACAAAUCAAAAUCUCUUUAAAAAAAAAAAUUUGGGUGUCUUUGAAUAGUACUUGAAGGGCCU
rnacentral:lncRNA from 1 species